rnacentral:rRNA from 1 species
UACGUAGGAGACGAGCGUUGUCCGGAGUUACUGGGCGUAAAGGGUGCGCAGGUGGCGGCGCGCGUGGGGGGUGAAAUCGCCCGGCUUAACUGGGCGGGGGCCUUCCAGACGGCGUGGCUUGAGCAGCGGAGGGGGACGUGGAAUUCCGGGUGGAGCGGUGAAAUGCGUAGAGAUCCGGAGGAACACCGACGGCGCGAGGCAGCGUCCUGGCCGCUUGCUGACACUGAGGCGACAGAAAGCUAGGGGGGAGCAAACAGG